GACGAAGGGGGCUAGCGUUGUUCGGAAUUACUGGGCGUAAAGCGCGUGUAGGCGGCCAUGCAAGUCGGAUGUGAAAGCCCUCGGCUCAACCGGGGAAGUGCACUCGAAACUGCAAGGCUAGAGUCUCGGAGAGGAUCGUGGAAUUCUCGGUGUAGAGGUGAAAUUCGUAGAUAUCGAGAGGAACACCGGUGGCGAAGGCGGCGAUCUGGACGAUGACUGACGCUGAGACGCGGAAGCGUGGGGAGCAAACAGG
rnacentral:rRNA from 1 species